ensembl:lncRNA
UCUGAGAUGUACCAGAACCAUGUGCCGUACAUGCCGGAACCACGUACCGGACAGACCGGAAUCACUUUUCGGGCAUGCUGGAACCACCUGUCAGAUGUGCUAGAACCACGUGCCGGAGACGCCGGAAGCACGUGCCGAGCACGUCGGAACCACGUGUUCAUCUCGCCUGAACCACCUGCCGGACACGUCAUAAUCACCUGCCGGCUACGCCAAAACCAUUUGGUGGACUCUCUGGAAUCACCUGCCGGGCAUGAUAGAACCACCUUUCAGACGUGCCGGAACCACGUGCCGGACAUGCCAGAACCACCUCCCGGACAGACUGGAACCACAUGCCGGACAUGCCUGAACCAACUGGCGAGCACGCCGGAACCGCAUGCUCGACUCGCUGGAACCACAUGCCGGAAAUGGCAAAAUCACCUGCCGGGUAUGCCAGAACCACUUGGCGGACACUCCGGAAUCACCUGCGGGGCAUGCCAGCAUAACCUCUCAGAAGUGCCAGAAGCACGUGCUGGACAGGCCGGUACCAUCUCCUGGACAGAGCGGAACCACAGGAAACAGUCGCCAGAACCACCUGCUUGACUCACCGGUCCAACAUGCCGGACACGCCAAGAUCACCUGCCCGCUACACCAGAACCACGUGGGGUACAAGCCGGAAUCACGUGAAGGGCAUGCUGGCAGAACCUCUCAGUCGUGCCAGAACCUCGUGCCGGGAACCCCAGAACCACCUGCCUUACAGACCGCAACCACCAGCUGGACAUGCCGGAAACACUGGCUCGACCCUCCGGAACCAAUGCCGGACAUGCAAAAUCACCUGCCGGCUACGCCAGAAGCACUUGCCGAACACUCCGGAAUCACCAGCCGGGCCUGCCGGAACCACCUGCCGGUCAUGCCAAAAUCACCUGCCAACUACGCCAGAACCACUUGGCGGACACUGCGGAAACAACUGUCGGGCCGGCCGGAACCACAUCUCAGACGUGCCAGAACCAUGUGCAUGAGAUGCCGGAACCACAACACGAACAGACGGAAACCACCUGCCAGACCCUCCUGAACCACCUGCCGAGAAUGCCGGAAACACCUGCUCGACUCGCUGGAACCACCUACCUCACACGUCAAAAUCACCUGCCGUGUAUGCCAGAACCACUUGGCGAACACUACUGAAUCACCUGCCGGGCAUGCCAGCACAACCUCUCAGACGUGCCCGAAGCAUGUGCCAGACAGGCCGGAACCAUCUCCUGGACAAACCGGAACCACAGGAAACACUCGCCAGAACCACCUGCUUGACUCACCGGUCCCAACAGCUGGACACGCCAAAAUCACCUGCCCGCUACACCACAACCACUUGGCAGACAAGCCAGAAUCACGUGAUGGGCAUGCGAACACAACCUCUCAGACGUGCCAGGACCUCGUGCCGGAAACCCCAGAACCACCUGCCGGACAGACGGGAACCAACUGCCGGACACGACGGAAAAAUGUCUUGACCCGCGGAACCACCACCAGACACGCCAAAAGCACCUGCCGGCUACGCGACAACCAGUUGCUGGACACUUCGGAAUCACCUGCCGGGCUUGCUGGAAACACCUGCCGGUCACAACAACAUCACCUGCCAGCUACGCCAGAACCACUUGGUGGACACUCCGGAAACACCAGUCGGGCCGGCUAGAACCACCUCUCGGACGUGCCAGAUCCUUGUGCCUGAGAUGCCAUAACCACACCCUGAACAGACUGAAGCCACCUUCCAGACCCGCCUGAGCCAACUGUCGAGCACACUGAAACCACCUGCUCGACUCGCCAGAACCACCUACCUGACACGCAAAAACCACCGGCCGGGUAUGCCAGAACCACUUGGUGGUCACUCUGGAAUCAUCUGCCGGACAUGCCAGAACCAGCUCUCAGACACACCCGAACAACCUGCCGGACACGCAAAAAUCACCUGCCGGGUACACCAGAACCACUUGGCGGACACUCCGGAAUCACCUGUCGGGCAGGCGGAACCACCUCGCAGACUUGCCAGAACCAUGUUCCGGACACGCCAGUACCACCUGCUGAGUAUGCCGGAACUACCUGAUCCACUCCCCAGAACCACCUGCUGUACACGCAAAAAUCACCUGCCAGCUACGCCAGAACCAAUCGGCAGACACUCCGGAAUCAUCUGCUGGGCAUGCCGGAACCAUCCCUCAGAGGAGCCAGAACCACAUGCCGGAGACUCCGGAGUCACCUGCCGGGCAUGCCAGAACCAUCUCUCACACGUGCCACAACCACGUGCCGGAGAGCCCGGAAGCACCUGCCGAGCUCGCCGGAACCACCUGCGGGACAUGCCGCAACCAGUGGCCUGACAGGCCAAAAUCAUAUGCCGGCUAUGCCAAAACCACUUGGUGGACACUCCAGAAUCACCUUGCGGGCAUGCCGGAACCACGUCAUGGACAGACGGCAAACACCUGCCGGACCUGCCAGAAGCACCUGCCGAGCACGCCGGAACCACCUGCUCGACUCACCAGAGCCACCUGCCGGACACACCAGAAACACCUGCGGGGUAUGCCAGAACCACUUGGAGGACUCUCCGGGAUCACCUGCCGGGAAUGCCGGAACCACCUCUCAGACGUGCCAGAACCAUGUGCAGGACACGCCGGAACCACCUGCAGAGUAUGCCGGAACCACCUGAUCCACUCCCCAGAACCACUGGCUGGACACACGAAAAUCACCUGCAGGAUACGCCAGAACCAUUCGCCAGACACUCGGGAACCACCUCCAGGACAGACCGGAACCACCUGCCGGACACGCUGGGACCACCUGUUUGAAUCGCCAGAACCACCUGCCGGGCAUGCCAAAAUCACCAGCCGGCUGCGCUAAAACCACUUGUCAGACACUCCGGAAUCACCUGCCGGGCAUGCUGGAACCACCUCUCAGAGGUGCCACAAACACAUGCCGGAGACGGCGGAAGCACCUGCCGAGAAUGCUGGAAGUUCCUGAUCCACUCCACAGAACCACCUGUCGGACACGCCAAAAUCAACUGCCGGCUACGCUAGAAUCACUUGUCGGACACUCCAGAAUCACCAGCCGGGCAUGCCAGCACAACCUCUCAGACGUGCCCGAAGCACGUGCCGGACAGGCCGGAACCAUCUCAAGGACAGACUGGAACCACCUUCCGAACACGCCGGAACCACCGGCUUGACUCGCCGGAACCACCGCCGGACAUGUAAAAUCAACUGCCGGCUACGCCAGAACCACUUGGCGAACAUUCCGGAAUCACCUGGUGGGCAUGCCGGAACCACCUCUCAGGCAUGCCAGAACCACAUGCCAAUGACACCGGAAGCACCUGCUGAGCACGCCGGAACCACCUGCUCGACUCGCCAGAACCACCUGCCGAACACGCCAAAAGCACCUGCCCGCUACGCCACAACCAGUUGGUGAAAACUUCGGAAUCACCUGCCGCGCUUGCUGGAACCACCUGCCGGUCACGCCAAAAUCACCUGCCAGCUAAACCUGAACCAAGUGGUGGACACUCCGGAAUCACCUGCCGCGCAUGCCAGAUCCACCUCUCAGACUUGCCAGAACCAUGUUCCGGACACGCCGGUACCACCUGCCGAGUAUGCCGGAACCACCUGAUCCAGUCCCCAGAACCACCUGCUGGACACGAAAAAAUCACCUGCCGGCUACGCCAAAACAACUCGGCACAGACUCCGGGACCACCUCCAGGACAGACUGGAACCACCUGCAGGACACGCCGGGACCACCUGCUUGACUCGCCAGAACCACCUGCCGCACACGCCAAAAUCACCAGCCGGCUAUGCCACAACCACUUGUCGGACACUCCGGAAUCACCUGCUGGGCAUGCUGGAACCACCUCUCAGAGGUGCCACAAACACAUGCCGGAGACGGCGGAAGCACCUGCCGAGAAUGCCGGAAGUUCCUGAUCCACUCCACAGAACCACCUGCCGGACACGCCGAAAUCACCUGCCGGCUACACCAGAACCACUUGGCGGACACUCCAGAAUCACCAGCCGGGCAUGCCAGCACAACCUCUCAGACGUGCCCGAAGCACGUGCCGGACAGGCCGGAAACAUCUCCCGGACAGACCGGAACCACAUUCCGGACAUGCCGGAACCACCGGCUCGACUCGCCAGAACCACCGCCGGACAUGCCAAAUCAACUGCCGGCUACGCCAGAACCACUUGGCAAACACUCCGGAUUCACCUGCUGGGCAUGCCGGAAGCACCUCUCAGACAUGCCAGAACCACGUGCCAAUGACACCAGAAGCACCUGCUGAGCACGCCGGAACCACCUGCUCGACUCGCCAGAAUCACCUCCCGGACACGCCAAAAUCACCUGCCGGCUAUGCCAGAACCAGUUGGUGAACACUUCGGUAUCACCUGCCGCGCUUGCUGGAACCACCUGCUGGUCACGCCAACAUCACCUGCCAGCUACGCCAGAACCACUUGGUGGACACUCCGGAAUCAUCUGCCGGAAAUGCCAGAAGCAGCUCUCAGACACACCAGAAACACGUGCCACAGAUGCCGGAAGCUCCUGCUGAGCAUGCUUGAGCCACCUGCUCGACUUGCAAGAAACACCUGCCGGAGAUGCCAAAAUCACCUGCCGGGUACGCCAGAACCAUGUGCUGGACACGCCGGAACCACCUGCCGAGUAUGCCGGAACCACCUGAUCCACUCCCCAGAACCACCUGCCGGACAUGCCCCAACCACCGGCUCGACACGCCGGUACCACCUGCCGCAUAUGCCGGAACCACCUCUCAGAGGUGCCAGAACCGCGUGCCGGAGAGACCGGAAGCACCUGCCGAGCUCGCCGGAACCACCUGCUGGACAUACCGGAACCACCUGACUGACAGGCCAAAAUCAUAUGCCGGCAACGCCAAAACCACUUGGGGGACACUUGAGAAUCACCUUGCGGGCAUGCCGGAACCACGUCAUGGACAGACUGCAAAAUCCUGCCGGACCUGCCUGAACCACCUGCCGAGCACGCUGGAACCACCUGCUCGACUCACCAGAGCCACCUGCCGGACACACCAGAAACACCUGCGGGGUACGCCAGAACCACUUGGAGGACUCUCCGGGAUCACCUGCCGGGCAUGCCGGAACCACCGCUCAGACGUUCCAGAACCAUGUGCCGGACAUGCUGGAACCACCUGCCGAGUAUGCCGGAACCACCUGAUGCACUCCACAGAACCACCUGCCG